UCAGUUGACUGGUCACCGCCAGUGGGUCCAGGGCGAGGCUUUGCCAUUGCACAUCGGCUUAGCUGACCCUUGCGAUUACCCCAAAUGUGGGUAACUCGGUCGUAUAAUUUCUGGUAGUGGGGACUGCGUUCGCGCUAUCCCCGU
rnacentral:snRNA from 1 species